UACGAAGGGGGCGAGCGUUGUUCGGAUUUACUGGGCGUAAAGGGCGCGUAGGCGGGUCUUUAAGUCAGGGGUGAAAUCCUGGAGCUCAACUCCAGAACUGCCUUUGAUACUGAGGAUCUUGAGUUCGGGAGAGGUGAGUGGAACUGCGAGUGUAGAGGUGAAAUUCGUAGAUAUUCGCAAGAACACCAGUGGCGAAGGCGGCUCACUGGCCCGAUACUGACGCUGAGGCACGAAAGCGUGGGGAGCAAACAGG
rnacentral:rRNA from 1 species